rfam:Mesorhizobium sp. SOD10 genome assembly, contig: MPLSOD_Contig_29
GCCCUUGUAGCUCAGCUGGUAGAGCAGCGGUUUUGUAAACCGAAGGUCGCGGGUUCGAUCCCUGCCGGGGGCA